rnacentral:misc_RNA from 1 species
UUGAAUUGCAGUGACUGUCACGGAUUAAAACGCGGCGACACGAAUCGAUCGGAUAGUGUUUACAAUAGAUAACAUAUCAAAUGUCUUUACGAAUGGAGUGUAUUGAAUUAUGAUAGUCGGGUGUAAAAGAAAAUAUUUAUAUAGGACCAGUUUAUGAAAUAUUUAACUUGUUAAACUGCUUCAAUAUCGAUGUGCUUUUAACAAACAAAUAACUUUAAGUUGUUUUUAUUUGAAGAACCGGAUACUAGCAAAUACUUCUGGCGUAUAUGUAGUAAAACUUGAUAGUUUGAAUAGUGUAGAUGUUCGAAAAUUGGAUGACUGAUAUAAUUCAUGGUCUGAACGUUUGAUUAUAAUAUCAUUUGUGAAAAAUAACCAUAAACAUGGAAGUCGCUGGAAGAAGAGUUAUUGAUGAUGAGGGAGAUAUUGUUGAAGAAAUUGACAUCGAAUGUGAACCAUGCAAGGGUGAGCAUGUUGCAACCACCGCGAAUGGAAUGUGUCGUGAAUGUGAAGAAUAUAUGUGUAACACAUGUUUUCGACAUCAUUUGAAAGCUAAACAGUGUAGAAGUCACGUUCUGGUUGACACACAAAAUGUGUCUUUGAUAGCGUCUCAUAAAAGUGCUGGAAAUGUUGAGAAGUGUAAACACCAUGUUAAUGAAGAAAUAAAAUUUUAUUGUCGUAAACAUGACAUUGUAGGAUGUGGUGAGUGUAUGAUACCAGAUCACAGUGGGUGCAACGCUGAAAAUAUAAAAGGCUUAGCUAGAGGGUUUGAAGUCACUGAAGAUUUUAAAUGUCUGAGGAAAAAACUUGAAGGACUUGGGGCUUCGAAUAACGAAAACGAGAGAAAGGUCCGUGAAAACCAGAAAGCUAAUAAAUUAAUGUAUGAAAGGGCCUUGAAAGAUAUAAGAAAAUUUAGAAAAGAUGUCAACGAUUAUUUAGAUAAGGCAGAAACAUAUGUAACAAAUGAGGCAAAGGGCAUUGAAAAUAGGAAUACCAGUUUACUGACGAGGCUAGAACAGGACUGGCAACACCUCUCCUCUAAAAUUACUGAAAUUGAACAAAAACUAAACACAGAACUGUACUCGGAUAGUUCACUGUUUAUCCAGACUGUAAAUUGCAAGCCCUUAAUUCUUGCAAUUGAGCAGGAAGUUUCCAGAGUACAAACAGCAAAUUGUAUCAAAGAAUUUGAAUUUGUACCAGAAAAGCAGAUGCAGCAUCUACGUAGCUCCGUACACAAUUUCGGACGAAUUACAACUUCAGUUAGAGCAGUAAAUGCCAGUUUAGAAGCUAUGAAACUGCCUAGUGGAGGAGAAGACAAGUCUGUUGAUCUUGAGGAUGCAGCUGUGGCGAAACCCUUGGACAAGGAGAAACCUGAUUAUGUGGUAAGACCCAGGUAGGGGCCUCCGUGGUUGAGUGGUAAAGGACACCGACUUCAAAUUAAUUGCCCCUCAAGGAACCUCACUCGGGGCGUUGAAGUCUUCAUGUGAGAAAGCCAUCCAGCUGGUUCUACCCAGAUGCCCACCCGUAAUGAAAGAAUGCACGGAGGGGAACCUGGGGUCAUCCUCCAUCUUUAAAACUUGAAAGUCGCCAUAUAACAACCUAAAAUCACUUCAGACAUUUGCUGUCGGUGCACGUGUACGUAAAUCAGGUCUAGGUUUUUGUAUGGAUCAUAGAAGUAGGCCUGGUACUGUAACUGCUAUAAAUAAAAACUAUGGUACUGUCGACGUGAAAUGGG